UACGUGAAACCGCUUAGAGGUUAAACCUGAUGAACCUAAAUUAUUGAAAAAAGAAAUUCAGUAUUAUUUUUUUGAAAAUGUAAAAAUUUUCUUAAAAAUUGUAUGCACUUUUCUUUUUGUAAAAUGUUGUAAUCUAUUGAUUAAAUAUUAUACAUUCUAUUGUAUAAUGAUUUGUUUAUGGAUUUUAAAGAAAGUUUUAAUAUUUUUAUGCACUUGUGUAUAUUAUAAUAAAUUCUUAUGAAAUUUCCUAACAAUAUAUCGAUAGAUUUAAUAAAUUAUACAAUACAUUUUAUGUAUGGCACGCAAGUGUAACGAUAUGCUUUUAAAAGUAUAUGCAGUAUACGUAUAAUUUGAUUACAACACUAAAGAUUUGGGAUACCUUCAGGACCCGUCUUGAAACACGGACCAAGGAGUCUAGUAUGUGUACAAGUCAUUGAGUGUUAAAACUUAAAGGCAUAAUUAACGUAACUUGUUUAUGGGAUUACAAGUAAAUUAUGAAAAUAAUUUAUUUUUCCAUCUCGGGGCGUUUCAAUCCAAUUCCUUAUUGAAUUUCGGUUUUUUAAUGAAUAGAAGCGUACCAUGAGUACACAUACUGUGACCCGAAAGAUGGUGAACUAUACCUGAUCAGGUCGAAGU
rnacentral:rRNA from 2 species